UGUGUGUGUGUGUGUGUGUAGUUUACAGCAAAAGUUGCUACCUAAAGCGUCAUGCUCCCCAUGUAUGAACUUUGUUCACUAGAUUGGGAUGAAAAAACAGAGUCUGGCUCAAUGCAUUCAUUAGGCAUAUAUUUUUCGGCUUCUUUUACAGAAGAUAUCAAGAAAAACAAGUGUAUUACAAACUAUCUCAUGAGGGAAAGGAAGACGUAGGAACAAAAAAUAUUAUGGCAGGGCCGUUUAGCUGAAAGGGCGGUAAGGGGUGAGCAUGUGAGAGAAAUAGAAAAAAUGCAGCUGUAAAAGCAUAGCCGAUUGAGACCUAAACAUCACCAAGCUUGAAUUUGUCGAAAUACAUAACACUCAACACAUGCUGUAGCAAGGCAGUUAUAAGGCCAAGUAGUCACAAAGGUACUGUGAUGUUGAUGAAUUAUGUCCGUUAUAUAUAAUCUAAUUUGGCAAUAACCUUGCCUUUUGCAGAACCUUCUCUAUUUAUAUUACUAGAAUCGCCUAUGAAUGGAAUCAACAAGGACAUGCAAGGAAACUGAGUAGAAGACUUACCAAGACUAAUGCAAGCAUAGUUCCUAAAAAACCAAAUAACAAUAAGAUUUAUUAGUGAAUUUUCACUGUUGAAACAAUCAAAUAAUAACUAUUAAUUAUCUUCAUAUAUUGGCGGUGGUUGCUGCAUCAAGUUGUAUGCGCUUGCUUUUCGUUUAUCUUUAUU
rnacentral:misc_RNA from 1 species